GUCUUUAGAGGUGGAAGCUGAGCAAAAUAACCAAAGGUCUACAAAGUGUCUCUGCUUAUUUAAACAAGGGAUUGAAGUGCCAUGCCUUCUUUAAUGACUCCAGUAGAUUUAAGAUUCAUAAUUAUUGGUGUGGGACAUGCGGCACUUUUUCCCUCCAGGUGCUGAGCAUGUUACUAUCACCUCCGUCACCCACUGCCCCUGCAGCCAAAGGGAAAAAGGCCAGAACUGGGACAUGGACUUUGUUCUCCCACUUACAGUGGGCCAGUACUGCUGCAGGAAAAUCUGCCUUUGAAGGGACAUUUCUGUACAGAGUGGCACCGGCAAAGAUUGACAGCUACAGACGCUAUAACAGUUUUUGCCUUCUGCAUUCUGGAAAUCUGGAACAUAUGCUGCUUUUCAUAUGCUUCUACUACCAUGUUAAUGCAGAAGAAGAGAGGAUGGUGAUAUCAGAUGCAAGACAGAGGAAGCAAGGUAGACAGAAAUUUGUCUUCUCACCUGUUUCUUCAUCCAGAAAUCUAGCAGAAAGAGAUCCUGCUGAGUCACAUUCUAACUCCAGGUCACUAAGUACAAAGUGUUCAACCUUGCCCUGCAGUGAGCAGGAUGCUGUGCUAAUCUUGGCAUCUA